UUGCUUCUACGGAAAAUAAGAUUUAUUUCUCUUUAGCAAAAAAUCACAUCCAACGUUAACCUACACUUUUUUACAAUCAUGCAAAAUUUUGUUUCCACCCACUGGAAUCCAAUAGAACAUAAAGUUGCAUCUGACAAACAUAAAAAUGCUACUUUUAUAUGUGAUAUUGUUUCCAAGGAAAUGAAAAUUACAAUCACAAUUCAGAGUGAGCCUGAACCAGUUCAAGCAACGUCUCUCCUAGCUUUUUCUGGCUGUCAUCACCCUCUCCCCUAUUGUAGCUCCGAUGAUGUUCAGCAGGUGCUAUCGUGAACUACGCUUCAGCUGACGCAUACCACCAAACAUAGCCUCCACUACGAAUACAGAUACAGUAUGAUGUCUGCUGAAAAUAGUUGUAUGAAGCAAGAUAUUAGAAAUAAGAUAGCUUGUUCGUUUAACACGGUACAAUUUGCAGGAAGCAUUAAAUUUUGGGAACUCAAUAUAAUAGAUCUUUCUAUGAAGCAGAGAUCAUUGAUAAUAGAUAAUAAACUAAGUUUGGCACCAACAAGAGGAUGCAUCCUUGUGUCGCCAACAUACAAACUGAGCCGAUUAUUGGGUGAUGAAUGGAUUCACCUUUUAUUGCGAGACGAAAACAAUGAUUACAAUGUAGAAGCACCCAGGUGAGAAGCACGAAAAAGUGCACAGGGUACAUAGACAGUGCCAUAUGGAAGCAUGGAAUAUUGAAAAUAAAAUGAGAACAAAUAGGGCUCUGUGGAGGCAUAUUUAUGGGAGUAACACACAGUUCGGGAAAUAAGAGUAAGUAUGAAUACAUGGGAACUCCAGAUAACUCGUCGUGGAAUGAAGCAUAGAAAUUUGAUAAUGAAUAAUCAAACAAAGCUUGCAAGCAACAUGCAGAUGCAUCUUCUAUGUCGCUGACAUUCGAAUAGAAAGAAUUUUCAAUAGAUAAAUACAAGAAUUUUUAAUAAUGAACCAACUACAUUUUUUCAUGCUUCUUACCCUGGUGCUUCUACAUAGUAAGCAUUUUUCUAGACGGUCAAAACAAAAUGCUUACAAUGUAGAAGCAUCAAGGUAAGAAAAAAAGAAAAUGCAGUUGGUUCAUUAUUAGUGAUAGGUGGAAGCAUAAAAGUUUGGAAAUGAAACAAAAAAAUGCGGCCAACUGUGGAGGCACUUUUGUGGAAGCUCCAUAUACAAGAAGCAACAAAAGUUGUUUAUUUAACAAUUCUCAUAUACGUACACUGGAAGCACUGAAAAUUGAAAUUAGGGAACUGACUAUGAUUGUCUGUUAUUACGUGAAUUAACUACGAUUCUUUGUAUACAUAAUGAUCGAAUUAUCUAAAUAAUAGGCCCAGGGUCAUCCUCCUUUUUGAAACAAAAAAUCUAAAUAAUCCAAUAACAAAAUUGUUCGGUGAAAAAUGACCUAAUACAUGAACAGAACAAUUUAGCGCCCAAUGAACGUAAAAGUACUUGGCAGUUGGCAGACAGUACAUUGCACAGAAAAUUUAAUUUGGCAAUUACAAAUCAAUAAAAUUGACGGCUAUCGACGAAGUGCGGUACCUUCCAUCCUGAGAUUUGUCCCCUAAAAAUUGAGGGCGAUCGACGCAGGUUCUACGUCCGGCCGGUGCUACUCGUGCAGCCGAUUCAGCCAACUCGAACCUGCGCAAGCGCCAACCACCAAAGAGAUGGGGGGCUCGACCCUCUAAUGCCGGGAUGGCGCACCUGAGAUGUGCCCCGAGGGCAGUCCGGGGUUCACGUCGGUGGAGAGGAACCCCGAGGUCGCAUCGGUGGAGAGAAAGAUGGAGUAUGGAGGGGCAUGUACCGGAUCUGUACGGUGGGGUGGUUGUGUGCUCGAAGACGAGGAGGAAGCAGCCGAUGUGUGACGCAAUCAGAGUGGUCACAGCGACGCGGUUGACGGCAAGCUCCGGACGACGCAGUUGACGGCAAGCUCGGGGAAGGCGCGUGCGAUGCGAGAGGACGAGGGGAUUGCGGGAGAGUAAUUAGUGGGGUUGGGGCUGAUGGGAUUUUCCUUUUUUCUUUGGGAGUACGAACCAAUUGGUGAAGUUGUUUGUACACCAUCAGAUCCAAU
rnacentral:lncRNA from 1 species